rnacentral:rRNA from 1 species
GACGAACGCUGGCGGCGUGCUUAACACAUGCAAGUCGAACGGAAAGGCCCUGCUUUUGUGGGGUGCUCGAGUGGCGAACGGGUGAGUAACACGUGAGUAACCUGCCCUUGACUUUGGGAUAACUUCAGGAAACUGGGGCUAAUACCGGAUAGGAGCUCCUGCUGCAUGGGGGGGGUUGGAAAGUUUCGGCGGUUGGGGAUGGACUCGCGGCUUAUCAGCUUGUUGGUGGGGUAGUGGCUUACCAAGGCUUUGACGGGUAGCCGGCCUGAGAGGGUGACCGGCCACAUUGGGACUGAGCUACGGCCCAGACUCCUACGGGAGGCAGCAGUGGGGAAUAUUGCACAAUGGGCGGAAGCCUGAUGCAGCAACGCCGCGUGCGGGAUGACGGCCUUCGGGUUGUAAACCGCUUUCGCCUGUGACGAAGCGUGAGUGACGGUAAUGGGUAAAGAAGCACCGGCUAACUACGUG